rnacentral:rRNA from 1 species
AGUGAACGCUGGCGGUAGGCCUAACACAUGCAAGUCGAACGGCAGCACAGUAAGCUCUUGCUCUUACGGGUGGCGAGUGGCGGACGGGUGAGGAAUACAUCGGAAUCUACUUUUUCGUGGGGGAUAACUUAGGGAAACUUACGCUAAUACCGCAUACGACCUACGGGUGAAAGCAGGGGAUCUUCAGACCUUGCGCGAUUGAAUGAGCCGAUGUCGGAUUAGUUAGUUGGCGGGGUAAAGGCCCACCAAGGCGACGAUCCGUAGCUGGUCUGAGAGGAUGAUCAGCCACACUGGAACUGAGACACGGUCCAGACUCCUACGGGGGGCAGCAGUGGGGAAUAUUGGACAAUGGGCGCAAGCCUGAUCCAGCCAUACCGCGUGGGUGAAGAAGGCCUUGGGGUUGUAAAGCCCUUUUGUUGGGAAAGAAAAGCAGCAGGUUAAUACCCCGCUGUUCUGACGGUACCCAAAGAAUAAGCACCGGCUAACUUCGUG